UUUUCAACCUGGCGCCGGGGUUCAGGGUGAUCAUGAAUGCUCUGACCCCGGAUGGAGGCUCAUUAUUGCACCUCGGUGGGUUAAAACUCACGACGGACCCUAAUCGGAUACUCUCGGGAGUGUAGCUUUUGUCAGCGGGGAGGCCUCAUGGUCCUCCCUU
rnacentral:snRNA from 1 species